rnacentral:rRNA from 1 species
CAGUCGCCGCGGGAAUACGAAGGGUGCAAGCGUUACUCGGAAUUACUGGGCGUAAAGCGUGUGUAGGUGGUUGUUUAAGUCUGUCGUGAAAGCCCUGGGCUCAACCUGGGAAUUGCGAUGGAUACUGGGCGACCAGAGUGCGGUAGAGGAUAGUGGAACUUCCGGUGUAGCAGUGAAAUGCGUAGAGAUCGGAAGGAACAUCUGUGGCGAAGGCGACUAUAUGGGCCAACACUGACACUGAGACACGAAAGCGUGGGGAGCAAACAGGAUUAGAUACCCCCGUAGUCCCUGUCUCUUAUAC